UACGGGGGGGGGUAAGCGUUGUUCGGAAUUACUGGGCGUAAAGGGCUCGUAGGCGGCCAACUAAGUCGGACGUGAAAUCCCUCAGCUUAACUGGGGAACUGCGUCCGAUACUGGAUGGCUUGGAUUUGGGAGAGGGAUGCGGAAUUCCAGGUGUAGCGGUGAAAUGCGUAGAUAUCUGGAGGAACACCGGUGGCGAAGGCGGGUCUCUGGGCCGUAACUGACGCUGAGGAGCGAAAGCAUGGGGAGCGAACAGG
rnacentral:rRNA from 1 species